AUGAAUUGACGGGGGCCCGCACAAGCGGUGGAGCAUGUGGUUUAAUUCGAUGCAACGCGAAGAACCUUACCUGGUCUUGACAUCCACAGAAGAAUCCAGAGAUGGAUUUGUGCCUUCGGGAACUGUGAGACAGGUGCUGCAUGGCUGUCGUCAGCUCGUGUUGUGAAAUGUUGGGUUAAGUCCCGCAACGAGCGCAACCC
rnacentral:rRNA from 1 species